ACUGUCGCGAAGCUCCCGCCCAAGCCGACCACGUGCCGCGAGCCCGGCGGGGAGAGCCCACUCCCGCGCCCCUUCCGGGCCCACUACCCCGCCGGGCUGUGGCCCAUCGCCCCAGUGCCUGGUAGCCUAGUUUUCUCGUUUGUCGUUUGUUCACUUAUUUAUUAUUAUUAUUAUUAUUUUGACUCGUAAUGGGUAUGAGGUGUAAGGGGGCCUAUUACGGAUGUUAAGGGGAGAGGGCACCGCUCGGGUUUUAAUAAGCAUCUGUGGAGCUCAUUUAUAAGAUUGGCAUCCUCUGCUUCUGCAGAAAACAUGGCUACCAACAGCUUCUGUAUCCACCUGCGGAGGAGACUGACUGCUCUGUUAUUCCCCCAGCAUCUGUGAAGAGGCUCUGACUGGCUAAAGUGUUGGAAGGAGUCUGUAGCUUUAGGGGAAGACAGAGCCACAAGAUGGAAGGAGCUUGGAUGUCUGAACUAUUCCAUGGAGAAAAGCUGCAGCCAACGAAGAACACCUGCAAUGGACUCUUAACCUGGGGGUGACGACAACCACUGAAAUAUGCUGCAUCUUAGUCCAGGGAUUUUUAAAGUGUGGUUCCUGGAAGAGCUGGAUCAGAGUCAUCUGUGUUGAUGGUUUAACAUAAAGAUUUUCGAGCCCCAAGACUCAAGUAGGACAAGGAAUUUGAAUUUUUAAGCAGCUCACCUGACUUGUCUGUCCUCUAAUGUCUGAAGACAUCUGACCUCUGCUCUUUCAGUAAAAGCAACAAUGGUUUUAUGAGCAUUGUCGUCACAUCUCUCCACUCAAGGGAUCCUUCUCAUUUCUCCCAGCUGAGGUCACCCACAGCUGCUGCUUCUAACUGCUGGCUUCCAGCCUGCUGUCUGCCAGCUGGCUCUACCCUCUCCUAUAACACGGCAGAGAGUAGCUGUGGUCUCCUGCGUGCUCACCCUCUGCUCCCUUGGUCCUGCUCCAUGCUUUGGUCCUGCACUUAAAUUUUACAAGCAUACUCUCUUUCUCUUAAGGGCCAGAAGGACUCCACCAAAUUUCAACACUAAGAUAACCACCUGUUACCAGUCAUCAACAAAUAGUUACUGAGGACCUGCCAUGCAUCAGGAACUGCAGAUGCAGGAAAUAAUAUGGACAACAGACACAGAUUCUGCCUCAUUACUUUUGUAGUUUUCUAGUGUUCAACUCUUGAUAUACAUAUAAGAUCCGCAUCAUCUGUUAAACAUAGAGCUUAGAUCCUCUCAUGAGAGUUCAGGCGCAUUCAGGGUGAUGUGGCUGUAGCCUCUGAUUCUCUUAGAUUGGCAGUGAAGGAAGAAUCGCUACAAAGGCAGGAUCCGCUGCACUUCAGAAUCUCACCUCCUGGCCCUAAAAUCCACCUUGAAGAGUCCUUGCCUCCUGCCCAAGUAGCCACAAACUACUCUCCAAAAAGCACAACUCUUCCUUCAACAAGACUCUUUUCUUCAAAAACCACAUGCAAAGUGAAGUCUUCACUGGAUGAAGGAGCUGAGGCUGGAGAAGUUAAGAGACCCCUGCUAGAUAGGAAGGCACGUGAGAAGUAUACUGCUCUGUCUCCUGUGGAGUAAAAAGACUUUGGCGUUCUCAGAAGAAAACCAAAUGAGAUCACACGAAUGAGACUGCUGGCUGAAAUCUUUCAGAGACAAGGUUCAAGAGAGCAAGCAAAACAUUGCACGACAAUGAACAGAUCAAGGUAGCCACUCCCAGUCAAGGACUGUAUGAGUUGCCCAGAGCAAGACCUUUUAGGAUAUGGUACAUAGCUGGGAGCCUGCCAACUCCUGAUUUUGUCAUUACCCUCAGAACUCCAGAAUGUAAGCUCCAUGAAGAGGAUGCACCUCCAACAAAACAAUUCUUACAUGGAAUCCUAGAGUCUUUGGAACGUGGUUUGAACACCACCAGCUUUGAGAAGGAAGAGAAAAUCCAGAAGUCAGAAGUGGACCAUGUUGAUCAGGAUCCUACACCUUCCAGUUCACUGGUGAAUAACUUCAUAUUCCUGAAGUUAAGAAGCCUGCCCUGAUGCUCAUGCAGUUACUUUGAGCAAUGACCAAACAGAGAGAGGAAGAAAGAAGUGUUGAAGAAGAGAGAGACAGAAGAAAAUCACCAUAAAAAGUCAGACACGAGAGCUUAGAAGUCAAUUAAGACAGGGCUUGGAAGGGGCAUUAGGUUUUUGGGGAACCGGUGUUACAUGAAGGUGCUGUUAACACUGGGAGUAGUGCUUUCUCUUAUUGAGAAAAAAAAAACACCUCUGUUUGCAUCUGUAGACAAAGAUCUGUUCAGAAUGGUUGGCUUUGUGAGUUUACAGCUGGCCGAUGAGAGGUGCUGCAUGAUAUUGGAAGAUGGGACAGAAGGAACCAGUAUUCUGCAGAGGCAGUUGCAUGAGCAGAUAUGAAAUGUCCUGGAGGCUCCCCCAGUAAGCUGAGAAGCACCUGCUUUCCCACUAUAGACUGAGACCACUGAUGGAAGCUUCCCAGAGAUUUGAGAAUUGCAGAAGCUUCUGUGAGCUAUGAAGAACAACGUGACUUUGACCUUCAGACUGAGAUAUAGCUGGAGGCUGCUUUGACCUUCUUUCCCACAGCUCUUUUGACCUUUCUAAAGCCCCAAACCCUAUCUUAAAAAUGACAAAUAUGGAAUGCAAAGAGCAGCUUUUCUUUUUCUGAUCAUGGCCUUAAUGUAAUACAAUAGUGAAACCGUCUAGCAUAGUGAUUAAGAACAUUGGCUGUAGAAUUAGACAUAUUUAGUUUAGCAUUUUGAUUCUACCCCAAACUGGCAAAGUUACUGAAUGUAUCUAAAUUUUAAUUUGCUCAUUUGUAAAAUAUGGCUAAUAAUAGUACUAUUUUUUAGCUCAUUUAUAAAGUAUGGAUAAUAAUAGUGCCUAUUUUAGGGAGUUCUGAAUAUUAAAAGAAGUAAACCAUGUAAAGCACUUAGCACAGUGCUGGAUACUAACAAUCGUUAUUGUGAUCUAACUAUAAUUUUGCUUAAAAACAUUUGUUCAAGUUUUCUUAUAUCAUCUCCUCUAUAGAUAUGAGAAUUUAACAUGAAAUUUUAACUCUACAAGUUAAAUGGGAGCUAAAAUAAUAUUGUGCAGCCUGUUCUUUUUGAAGCAUUUUUAAUGAAUAAAUUAAUUUUCCUAAAAUAAAAAGGUACUGUAGGCUCAUUGUAAAAAGUUAAGAAUACAGAAAUGUAUAAAGUCUAAAAUCAGUGAGUCUCCACCACUGCAUAGUGACUAUUUACAGUUCUGUGUCUAUUUUUCUAUACCUUCUUAUAUGCAUAUGUAUACUUAUAUACACUUAAAAACAAGAUGAAAUUAUACUUUCUUUUUUCACAUUUUUAACUUAGCAAUUAAUCUUUACAGAUUCAUAUAUAGAAAAAACUACUUUAGUCUUUUUAAUGGCUACAUGGUAUUCCUUUGUAUUACUAUGCCAGACUUAGCCUUCUCUCAAUGAGUAUUAAGGUUAUUUCCAAUUUAUCUGCACUGUAAAAAGUUUCAAGCCUGGCAUAGUGGAUCAUGCCUGUAACCCCAAUACUUUGGGAGUCUGAGGUGGGAGGCUCUCUUGAGCCCAGGAGUUUGAGACCAGCUUGGGCAACAAAAUGAGACUUCAUCUCUAGGAAAAAAAAAAUUAGCCAAGUGUGGUGCUGUGCUCUUAUAGUCACAGCUACUUUGGAGGCUGAGGUAGGAGGAUUGCUUGAGUCCAGGAGGUGGAGGCUGCAGUGAGCCAUGAUCAUGUCACUGCACUCCAGCAUGGGCAACAGAGCAAGACACUAUCUCUCUUAAGAAAAGAAAGUUUCAGUCAACGUCCAUGCAACUUUGUAAAAAAUGCAAUAAUUUCCUUAGAAUAAAUACUUGCCCCUGCAGUUUCUAGGUCAUAUAACAUGUGCAUUCUCAAUUUUAGUUCAUAUUGUCAGGUGUCCAACAGAAAAUUGGAAAUAUGUUUUUACUUCCAGCAAGAGAACAUAAAAGUGUUCAUUUCUGUAAGCUCUUGAUAAGCUUUGGGGUAGCUAGUGAUAGAGGUAUUAUGUUUCCAGUAGCCAGGGUCACAGAUAAUUAAAAUGUCUCUUAUCCCAUUUGAAUCAAAUGUUCAUUGUGGUAAGUGAGUCUUUGUUAAAUUCUGAAAGGCAGUCAGUUCUGAGGAAAAUUCUCUGAUGAGUGCCCUGUGGGCCACGAUUUUGUGUUCUUGAAUCAAGGAAAACCAUAUGCUUUAGAUAUGAGCUGCAGAGACCACAGAUCUGACAUUCCAUUGUGAACAUGUAGGAGCCUGAUUUAAGUUUCUGCUCAGUUUCAGGGUUUUCCAAUCAAAUGGAGGUGAGCUGUAGAGAUGCUGAGAAUAUAAAUUUCUUUUAAAAAAUUGUUAGUUUUGUAAGUACAUGGCCACUUAUUUAGUUGAGAUGUUUAGGUUCUAUGCCACAUAUUAAGAAGAGGCGAUUUUGGCCUGAUAAUCUACCUCUGUCUUAGAAACAACUCUAUCAAUCCGAUUACCUUAAUUAAAAUGUGAGAUUUUGAAUAAGAGUAAAAUCUUAUUACUUAACUAAAUAGGUUAAAAGGUUUUCUAAAUAGUGGAAUGAGUAGAGCUCUUGGGUAGAGUCAAGUCAUUUUAAUUUAAGCAGUUGUAAAACUACGUGUUUAUGGAGUGAUGGCAAUGAGAGAAAACAGGCUCAGUUGCUUUCUAAGGCCAUUUCAUAAGAGCAAAUGGGAACACUGACCCAGAGAAACGUGAUUGUUUCCUUCUUGCUAUGACCGAAGAGAAAGAUGCCACUUCAUCAAGAGCUGCACCUAUCAACUUAAUAUAAAUUUAAAAUAUAACAAGGGACAGAGCUGCUUUAGGCCAUUUGAAAUAUAAAAUUAAUUUGUCAAAAAAGCAAUUCUUUCCCCUCUAAUUUUGGCAGUAAUAUUAUGUGCAGCCUAGUUUGUGAUCCCUACUUUAUAAGUUCUUUGUCUAGGAAAUCAGAAGUAGAUAAAAAUGAAGAUUUUCUUAUUGAUUCUUAUUGGUUUAAUACAGUAAGACUUGAAACUUUUUAUCUAUAUACUCCUUUGAUUGAUUCUCUAUACAACUAAUUAGAACAAAAAAAGAAUCUAACAAAAGAGCUCUGGGAUUGGAAAGGAUUUUGGGCAAGAUAUUCCUAGUAGACUGAUAUUAAUUUGACUUUCCUGAUUCUCUACUAAAAUUAGUUUGAAGAUGGUAGGUGUCAGGAGAGGACUCUUGGAAUAGGUUUUACAAGAAGAAUCUUGUCAAUUUUAACUUAGAACAUUUUACAAAAUGUUCAUGUAAAAACUUAACAUACUAACAAUACAUAUUUAAAGGGACUAUGAUUUGUAGAAAAGAAAAAAACAAUGAAACUUAUUUGCAUAGACUCCUAAAUAAGAGCCAUUUAAAUAAAAGUUGCAAACCCCCUAAUGCAUGGGUGGACAUGGGCCCGCAUCCAGUGAUUCUCCUAUGCUGGAGCAUAGCAUAAGAACUGACUUUUUGUUUCAAUACAAAACAACUCUCAAUGGCCACCAUAGCUCCAAAACUUACCUGUUGAAAUGGUAUCACAGCUCAACUCCUCUCUCUCCCUAGUGUACUUUGCUCCUCACUCACAGGUAUUGUCCUUGGGAAAGAAUUUCUCAGUAACAUACUGCACACAAAGUUCAAGUCUCACAUUCUGUCUCUUGGGAACAUGACUUACCAUACUCCAUGCCUAAAACCUUGGUAGGCGUGGUUGGGAGGCCAGGCUCUGAUGAGCCCAUGUUUCUUUUCAUGUAAUCUCAAGAUAUUUCCAUGAGGUUUUUCAGCAGGCUGGUCAAACUUCUUUCAUUGUGAUUCAGGGCUUUGCGAGGCCAAGGCAGAAACAGCCAGUCCUCUUAAAGGCUGGCCCCCAAAAUGACAUAAGCAUCACCUUCUCCAUACUCUAUUGGUCAAAGGAGUAGUCCAGCUUAGGUGGUAAAAUGAGAGGAAGGAGAUGGGAAAAGUAUGGAAGAAUUUUUGUCCAUCUCUAACCUACCACACAGACUAAUCGACAGGGUGAAAUAUUUUUUUCAUACCUCUUUAGGAGAGUGCAGAGUUAACACUCUCUGAAUGUGUUAAUCAGCCUGAUGCCUUUUUAUAUUUUCUAUAGAAAGAAAUUAAGAAGUCCCCAUGGGCCAUGGUUGGGCAGAAGAUUUGAUGGGGAUGAUAAUGUGUGGAAGAAGGAUGGAUACAUUAUUCCUUUUCUGUAUAAACUUUUAAAGAAGUAGUCACCAUAGGUGUACAAUUUGAAAUUAUAUAUGAUAUAACAUAACAAAGCAGAAGCUGAGUUGGUUAGAAAUUAAGAACAUGAGAUCUGAAAUCAGAUAGAUUUGGUUUUGUGCUCCAGCCUCACUACUGCAUGAAUAUGAGACUGCUGAUAAAUGAGUCUUGAGUCCUCAUUUCUCCCAUCUGCACAAUAGGCAUAAUGAUGCCCACCUCGUGGGUUUUUUUUUUUUUUUUUUUGACGGAGUCUCGCUUUGUCGCCCAGGCUGGAGUGCAGUAGGGCGAUCUCAGCUCACUGCAAGCUCCGCCUCCUGGGUUCACGCCAUUCUCCUGCCUCAGCCUCCCGAGUAGCUGGGACUACAGGCGCCCACCACCACGCCUGGCUAAUUUUUUGUAUUUUUAGUAGAGAGGGGGUUUCACCGUGUUAGCCAGGAUGGUCUCGAUCUCCUUCCUGAUCUCAUGAUCCACCCGCCUCGACCUCCCAAACUGCUGGGAUUACAGGCAUGAGCUACCGCUCCCGGCCCACCUCGUGGGUUUUGAAGGUCAAGUAAGAUGAAAUAUGAUAAUAUCUAAAAGUACUCGUUUUAGGUCUGAUGCAUAAAAAAUACUCAAGAAAUAAUGAUAAAAAUUGUAAAAAAGAAAGUAACAGGAGCCAUGAUAUUGAUACGAAGCAAGACAAAACAAAAACUUUAAAACAAUAUGAGGGAAGAAGCAGUAAUGUUAAAACUAUGAGUAGGAUUGAAGGCAUUCAUCACAGACACCCAAUAAAUGCUGCAGAAUCUGAACAUCGUGAAGAUAGUAAAUAGAAAACAAGCUGAAGUUUAAGGCUACUGGUAAAGGUUAGACUACUGUGUGAAUAAUUAGAGGGCAUCUUUCUUUCUCAGUGCAGUCAAAAUCAGGCAGCUUGUUUUCUAGUAAUCAUGUUUUCAACAUUAUUCAUAUGAAAACAUAAAAUUUUAGGUUUUAGGAAAUAAACUGAACUCUCCAUACUCUCUCAAAUCACUAGAAAGUCUCCGUCAGUUAUUUCUUUCUCAGUGCUGAUUAACUAUCGAUUCAAUUGGUGGUCAAAAUCGAGACUUGCUGCUGUGUUUUUGUUUUGAAAUUUUUAUUUUAUUGACUUUUGACAGGGCACAGCUAGAGAAGAGAAAAGCCUAGUUUAAAAAAAGUAUUUGUAUCAAGCCAUCUCACCCAUUAAAUAUUGAUAAUUUUACAUUACAGUUCCAAAACAAUAAUGAAUUAUUGUUCCCACAUCAACUGGUCCAAAACAGAAGCAAGUCUGUUUUCCUUCCCCUAUGGUUAGCGCAGUGUGUCUGGACAAACAGGCAAUUAAGUUCUUAAAAUAUGAACCCAAAUGAGACUGAGACUGGGUGUGUUUUCAUAUUCUUCUACAGCCAAAGAUGUGUAACUCACCAGGGAGGCUUAACUUAUUCUGACUCUUCUGGAUAAACAUGCAUGUUAUCCUUGAUGUUUAUGCAUUUUUCAGCAAGUUUUAGGAGAAUAGAUGGAUUAUUUAUAAAAUAAAGAACUUAUUUUUCACAUCUCAGUAAUGAUAUGGUGGAAAGCCGAAUUGUACCACGGAAAAGGUCAGAACACCUUGAUCAUAUGUCAGUUUCACCCUUUAGCUAAUAGUGUGACCUCAGGAAGGUCACUUUGUCUAUCUGACCUACAGGUAUGUCAUCUAUAAAAUAUGUCUGAUGAUAAUUCUUAAUCGACCCACCUGUCAGAGCUCUUAGACACAAGUGAAAUUAUGAAUAAGGUGUAAAAAUGCCAUAUAAGGCUCAUUUUCCUUUAAUAUUUUAAUACUAAAUCCAUAAAAGUUUGUAGUAUCUGUUUGCAUACACAUGACCAAAAAUAUUUUGGAUGGAAGUGUAAAAAAAAAUCAGUCAAGGUAUCUAUAUGCUCCAUUUGCAAGAGGUAAUAAUCUACUUGUUUAAAAUUAUAUAUACAUAUAUAAAAUUUAUAUAAAAUAUACAAUUUUAAUGUUAUUGAAUUUUGUAUAUACAUUGUAUAUACAUAUGAUAUACAUUAUAUACAAAAUUGAUUUUUAAACUUUUAACUUUUUUUUUUAAGAUGGGGGCGUCUCACUUUUUCACCCAGGUUGUAGUGCGGUGGUGCUGUCUCAGCUCACUGCAACCUCCGCCUCCCAGGCUCAAGCAAUCCUCCCACAACAGCCUCCUGAGUAGCUGAGACCACAGGUGCAUGCCACCACACCCGGCUAAUUUUUUCUAUUUUUGGUAAAGAUGGGGUUUCACCAUGUUGCCCAGGGUGGUCUCAAACUCCGGAGCUCAGGUGAUUCAGUCACCCCGCCUCCCAAAGUGCUAAGCUUACAGACAGGAGCCACUGCACCCAGCCUAAAAUUUAACUGUUCAGUUAUGUUUGAGGUUGUGUUCUCAAGCUUUCAUCUACUUUUUUUUAUGUUCUUUCUUAAAAGCUGGUUUUAUUAUUCACUGUCUUCUGUAGCUGCUUCCCUCCUUGGUUUUAUUGUAUCGUCUUUUGUAUGUAGUUUGUUACAGUCAAUAUUGUUUAUGUAAAAUAACUGCUUAAAUUAACUUGUUAUCUGUGUCUACUUCAGAAAACACAGAGUUCCAUACUUUUUAUUUUAGUAAAUGUAAAGUGGUGGUAUUGAUGGAAGGUUGGGGAGAGGAUAUUUCAAGCAAGUCUCAUAUAAGAUAUUGCUGGAGGUAGUUAAUAAAUGUCAAAAAUCCUAAGCAUGAAACAUUCAGGACUUUACAAGACAAAAAAAUAGAAUAAAAUUUUGGCCUCAUUCAUCUAAAUUGUUUUUUUCAUCAGAGCAAUUUUGAUUACAUUUUUUUAUUUCCAUCCUCCAAAAUUGUUCAUUGUCUUUGUCUAUAUGUUCACACAGUUAACAAGUUGGCUAAUAUUUCUGGUUAUCUUCACAACCGAUUAUGCAUUGAUCAACUGAUUGACCAUAUAGCAAUUUUAUUUGGUUGUUAAGAACAGAUGUAAAUACCAGAUUGACUCUGUUACAGUUGUUAAUUUAGCUGUACAGACAAGGUGUCAGAAAAGACCUUCAGAAAUAUAUAUAAAAUGCCUUACAUUCUCAAAUGGUCAUGAAAAUAUUAAACCUGCAGCCAAAAUAAAGUUUAAUUUGAAUAACUUUUAUUUUCAGAGACUACACGUUAAAAUAGAAUUCAGUGUGGAACAUAAUUUAAAGUGUUCUGAUACAAUAGGGAAAUGGUUGCUGAACGUUCUUCUGUGUCAAACAGGUGGACACAACUGCUAGAUUAACAAUGAGGCAUAUUAGCAAAUAUUGCUGUCCUUCAGUGCUGAAGAGGAUGUUGGCUCUUGCAAUUAUGUUCUUAGGCUCUUUGUUGAUUUUGGUGAAAUGAGCAAAUUAUGUUUUAUUUUAUAUCAUUAAUAAUAUUUCAUCUUUUCUGAAUUAGUCCUAUUGAAAAUUAAAGAUAAUUUAAUUGUUAUGAAAUGGGAAUUAUGCAGUUUUAAUCUCUACUGACAGUGACUAUACUGCUUGCAAGUCUAAUUUACUAUCUGGCUCUUUGGGAAAAGUUUGCUGACCCGCUGCUAGGGUUACUACUGCCCUAUAGUGAGAGUCCAAGUCUCUUUUUACUUCAACAACAGUUGUCUCUCCAUCCCUGGAUCCUAAGGUGUCCCACUCUACUUCAGAUCAGGGACAACAGAAAUUCUGAGGCACCAUUGGGCCAGGGGUCUAGGGGUUAGAGCUUUGGGUGAAAUGAACAAAGGAGUUAAAAUCCAAAGUACAGACUUCUGAACUUUUUGUUUGUUUUUGUUUUGCUUUUCUUUUAUGACAGCAUCAUACAGGGAUCCAAAGUCUUCCCUCCCUUGGGAAAAUGUUACCUUUUAAAACAUUACAUUUAACACAUAAUAAUUUUGUAUAUGUAUGUGGUACAAUGUGAUGUUUUUAUCUGUGUACACAUUAUAGAAGACUCGAUUAAGUUCAUUGCUGUAUCCAUCUGAAAGCCAGUUAGUAAUCAGGAUAGAGUCCAGGGCCCUAGAGUAUGGGUGGGGGGUGGAUGUGCUAAUUUGUUGCUCUGAGCCCUAAAAUUAUCUCUCAUUGUUUUUCUUCACUAUGCCAUUAAUGUGGAAAGAUCAUAAACUUAGGUUGGAUUUUUUUUUUUUUUUUUUUUUUUUGAGAUGGAGUCUCACUCUGUUGCCAGGCUGGAGUGCAGUGGCACAAUCUUGGCUCACUGCAACCUCUGCCUCCCAGGUUCAAGCGAUUCCCCUGCCUCAGCCUCCUGAGUAGCUGGGACUACAGGCGCACACCACGACACCUGGCUAAUUUUUUUUUUUUUGUAUCUUAGCAGAGACGGGGUUUCACCAUGUUGGCCAGGAUGAUCUUGAUCUCCUGGCCUCGUGAUCUGCCCUCCUUAGCCUCCCAAAGUGCUGGGAUUACAGGUGUGCAUGUUUAGUGAAAAGGGGCAACAGUGAAUAUCUGACACAUUUUCAUGUGGGCCAAGACACACAAGAGUUUGGUUCAUCUGGGGUCCAUUCUAGCUCACUGGAGUUUAGAAUCACAUCCCGCAUAUUGAGGCCAACCUGCAGUAAUAAAGUAUGUGUGUUUGUUGGUCUUUUCCAGUGGAAAUUUGUGGUACCAGUGCUUCUUCAUCCAGGAUUCAAGAUUCCCAGCCAAAUUUCCCUUUCUCUACUAAACUAGCAACAACUCUUAUUGUUGUGACAGUUUCUACCCUCAAGUGAUUCCUAGUCUAAUGAUAAAAACAUAAAUGCCAAGAGCUAACUAUAAUGACAUGUAGUAAGUGAGAAAUUGCUUCACAGAGAAGGUAACAUUUCUCAGUGGUGUAAAAGAGCUGGCUCUUACCAGCUCCAUUGUUAAGUAUUUAGGAAUCAACAGCUGAGUUGUUAAAUCACUGGUAGCUUGAAAUGGGCUGUGGUGGGAAUAUCUCCACCAUGGAAAUUGGCAAAAACUGCAAAUUGGGACUUACUUUUGUACAGAGAGCCUAUUUGCCAAAGUAGCACUGGAUUUGAACUGGAAAAAGGAGGGAGUGAGGGGUAAAUUUAUUGUAAGCAGAGGGGACAGACAUUAUGAUUAAAAUGUAAUACAGUAUAUUAAAAUAUCAGUAACUUUUGACAUUUGAAAAGGGUUAUUCUCUUUGAUGCAUAAGUAUUAAUCUUAUUCAUUAAAAUGUGAAAACCACAUACAUUGUUUUUCUUUUAUAUUUAUCACAUACUUAUAGGGUAAGCAAGUUUCAUACCGCAAUCAUCUUUUGGUCAUUUUCUCUAAUUAUUCUUCACAGAUUUGUAUGUAUGUAUAUAGGCAUCUAGUAAGCUGUUACGUUUUCUUCCAGCAUUUGGUAUGGUUCAGGAAGUCUAACAUCAACCUGAUUUUUAGCCAUUUAUUGGCAAACUAUUCCCUUUUUCUUUAAUGCUUCAUAAUCCCAAAUUUCUAUUAUUUUCAAUAAUGAGUCUUACUAUUUUAGCUUGAUAUAUUUGGUGAAGUUUCUAAAUCUAUAAAUUUGUUUUUCUUCACUGUAGGUAGAUUUAUAUGUAUUAUGAGGUUUCCUUGAGUGAUGUCAGAACCAGCUUUCUAAAGUUGAUUAUUUUUUCCUUUUAUUCAUAUCUAUGAGUUUUCUUGUCACUUUCACUUCUGUUCUUUCCCUUUGGAUUCAAGGCUUCUCAAACUUGCCAUCCUUAUUACAGAUUUGAUUUGAUCACUUCUAUUUUUAUUGUCUCUAAUGGGAGUUUUAGCCCUGCUCUUGCUCUGGUGUUUCAUUGUAUUCUUUUUCUACUUUAGUCAGAGUUCUUUGUAUCUCUGCGUCGAUCUUACACUCUAUGCUCUUCACCCCCUUUUUCCAGAGGCCACUUUCAUCUUUCAUGUUUUUGAAGACAUCAAGCAUAGUCUGCUAAGCUUUGCCUUUUCCUUUCCCUACUGAUUAUUUUUCUGUUUGUUCACCCUUAGCAGAUAGAGAUCUAUCUAGACCUGGCAUUUUUCGAAAGACAGUUUCUUAGUUUCAUUAGCUUGGUCUGCUCUUCACCUAGGUUCAGGCAGCUUCCUUCUUUGGCUCUGGAACCAAAGGCAGAUUUAUUUGCACAGAUCUGCACGUCUUGCACAGAUAUGUCUGUUUCUAACAGUAGUUAGUCCAGAAAAGAUUGACCAUGGAAUUCUUUUCUUGAGAGGAGUGGCAUCUCAAUCAAUGUUUCCCAACAUAUGGUUCUCAUGGCCUUGGGGACCCUGAAGGGAUGUAUGGGGCAGGCUCUGGCUGGCUUAAAAAGUGAUUCCUUAGGGUUUAGGAGAAAAAAUUGCAUGUUUUUGUGGUUUGUGCAUGUAUUUUAUGUAUUUAUUUGUGUAUUCAUUUAUUUAUUUGCUAGAGUUUAGAGCAGCAAAGGGAGGGUAAAUCAAAGACCACUGAUUUGGACUCAGCCUUCUUGCUCUGCUCUGCAUUUGCAGUUGUAUUGUUUGUCGUGGAGCAGUAUUUCUCAACAGUGGCACUAUUGAUAUUUUGGGUCAGAUAAUUCUUCGCCAUGGAGGCUGUCUUGUGCAUUGUAGGAUGUGGUAGGAGUUGUGUUUCCUGAGUAGGGCACAACCUCCCUGGUUUCUACUCAGUAGAUACACCCCACUCCCAGUUGUGAUAAGCAAAAAUAUGUCCAGAUGUUGUCUAAUGUCCCCUGGGGAGCAAAAUUAUCAUCGCUUUCUCUCGUUAAGAACCACUGCUCUAGAGACUAAGAACACAUUUCUAAAUUUCAUGAAACUUUCUCCAAAAUCAAAUUCUAUUCUUUUUGUCAAUUUGUCUAAAUUUGAUUGUACUGUUGCCAGUCUUUUUUUUUUUUCUAUCUUCAUUGGCAUUUAGUAGAAUGUAUAAAAGGCUUAUAUGAGGAAUUGUAUUUUUUUGUUUAUUUUUUCAUCUGCCAAAUAAUCACUGAGCACAUAAUAUAUUCCAUGUUUUCUGCUUGGUCAUGGAACAGGAAAUUGAGUAAGACUUUCUCUUUGCAAAUUCUCAUCUUUGGAAAUUAUUCUAGGAUUUAUAUAAAUUAUCAUAUUUAACUUCUUCAAAUUUCUUACCUUUUGUCUUUCUUAAUAAAUAAUCUCCUGAUACUUUUCUACAUCUUGUCUUAAUGUAGGACUUGUCAGUACCUUUAAAAUGUUCAUGUCAUUUACACAUUUCCAGAGGAGGGGGAUAAAGUGUGGUGUUCCUUUAUCUUAUUUUAUCAUGGGGCUCUAUUUUCUUCAAAACAUCUUAUGAGAUAAUUAGUCCAGGGUAUAGGCUUUGGGAAAUAUUCCAUUUAUGCAUUUCUUUAUUAUCUAAGGAUGGAUGAUACUGAUCUUUUCAGAUUAAUAUCUUUAGCCCUGAUAUUCCACAGAACCCCAGACCCUAAUAUUAAUUCCUCCUGUAUAUCUCCAGAUUGAAGUUCCACAAAUAUCUCAAACUCAGAACUUCUUCCAAGGCAAAGAAUUCCAAGGCAUUCCUGACCCCCAAAAUAGAGUAUAAUAUCUCUCUUUAUAUCUUUAACACUGUUCUGUCAAAACCAUACUUCAGUGUAAGUUAGUAUCUGUUGUAAUUCUGUCUUUCCUGCUAGACUGUGAGAAUUCAGAUACAGUGUCUGGGUUUCUUCUUCACUUUUCUCCCCAGAAUUUGGAACAAAAUGGGUGCUCAGAAGAUGUUUUCUUUAAAGUACAAACACUGGGCAAAAAUAAUGCCACUGACAUUUUUUUAGAAAAUGUUUUUUAGCUUAUUUCUCCACAUACUUAAAUUGGGGUUGGAGGAUACAUUUGACAACUCUAGGAACCUAAUGUUAGAUGUUGAAGAAGAGCACUAUGGGAGGCCAAGGCAGGUGGAUCACGAGGUCAGGAGAUCGAGACCAUUCUGGCUAACACGGUGAAACCCCGUCUCUACUAAAAAUACAAAAAAUUAGCCGGGCGUGGUGGCAGGCACCUGUAGUCCCAGCUACUCUGGGAGGCUGAGGCAGGAGAAUGGCAUGAAUCCAGGAGGUGGAGCUUGCAGUGAGCCAAGACUGCGCCACUGCACUCCAGCCUGGGUGACAGAGAGAGACUCCAUCUCAAAAAAAAAAAAGAAAAAAUAAAAAUUGUAAAAAAAGCACAGAGGCUGGGCAUGGUGGCUGAAGCCUAACACUUUGGGAGGCUGAGGCAGGAGGAUCACUUGAGGCCAGGAGUUUAAGAUCAAUCUGGACAACACAAUGAGACCCUAUUUCUACAAAACAAACAAACAAAGAAACAAACAAAACCACCACCAACAUCACCAACAAAACCUCAGGGAAAUAGGGUACCGGGAUUUGCCAAAGACAAACUUGAAUGAAUUAACAAUUCUGGAUAGUGCUAGUAAUGUCUUUGAAAAAAAUUUAAGUGUCUUUUUUGGCAGAUGUAGGGAUUUUGCAGGUUGGCUUGUGUCCAGCGUGAUGAUUAAACAUUUGUUCCUUAAAAAGAGAAUUGAUUCUUUUGUUCUGUGUUGCUCAAUUCAAGAUUAAGUCAUGAGGGGAUUUGGAAGGAUGUACUGAAGUUUCAUCUGGUUUGGUGAGAACAAUAUGCUACCAGAUAAUCAUUGCUUUGUAAUAGUCCAAGAAAGUAACAGUUUUUUAAAAAAGUUAAAACUCCAUAUAGCAUUUAAUUUUUGAUUAAAUCCAAACCAGAAUAAACAUCGUGACUGAGUUUUAGGAAGCCCACCAAACCCUUCUGCCAUGAUUCUUUGCUGGACCCAGAAAUACCAUUUCUUUCUUUUGUUUUUGAGAUGGGUAUGUUAUGGGUACAUUUGUCUUUUUGUUCAGGUGCUGUGAGACAGAGAUGAAAAAGACAAUCUUCCAAGCCUUAGGAAAAAAAUAUUAACCAACCAUCUCUAGGAAAUUGCAAAAUAGUUUCUACUUUAUCAGGAUUUCCAAUUCCAGGUAUCUUACUUUGGAACUUUUGUAUUACUUUAAUGUCACUCAUAAAAUGUUACAUUUCUGAAACUGCUAGAUUCCACAGAAAUCAGGAAUUUUUUGUGUACUCUAUAAGAAGAAGACCGUAGAUUACAAACUGUUGAUUGUAAAAAAUAAAUACGCUUAUUUUUUUCUCCAUUAUCAAGGUUGACUUUUUUUUUAUGUUGUAAAAAAUGAAUGUUAGCUUUCUAUUCUAAGUCUGUGUAAAAAAAAGAGGCCUCAGAAGAUUAAAUUUGGUAGUGUAGAUAUAGCUACUUUAUGUUAUUUAUUUCUGUGUCUA
rnacentral:lncRNA from 1 species